rnacentral:rRNA from 1 species
UACGUAGGGUGCAAGCGUUAAUCGGAAUUACUGGGCGUAAAGCGUGCGCAGGCGGUUAUAUAAGACAGUUGUGAAAUCCCCGGGCUCAACCUGGGAACUGCAUCUGUGACUGUAUAGCUAGAGUACGGUAGAGGGGGAUGGAAUUCCGCGUGUAGCAGUGAAAUGCGUAGAUAUGCGGAGGACACCGAUGGCGAAGGCAAUCCCCUGGACCUGUACUGACGCUCAUGCACGAA